UACAGAGGUGGCAAGCGUUGUUCGGAAUUACUGGGCGUAAAGGGCGCGUAGGCGGCUCGACAAGUCCCGCGUGAAAGCCCCCGGCUCAACUGGGGAACUGCGCGGGAAACUGUCGGACUUGAGUUCGGGAGAGGGAAGCGGAAUUCCAGGUGUAGCGGUGAAAUGCGUAGAUAUCUGGAGGAACACCGGUGGCGAAGGCGGCAUCCUGGACCGACACUGACACUGAGGAGCGAAAGCCAGGGGAGCAAACGGG
rnacentral:rRNA from 1 species